rnacentral:rRNA from 1 species
CCUACGGGGGGCAGCAGUGAGGAAUAUUGGUCAAUGGGCGAGAGCCUGAACCAGCCAAGUCGCGUGAAGGAUGAAGGAUCUAUGGUUUGUAAACUUCUUUUAUAUGGGAAUAAAGUGAGGUACGUGUUCCUUUUUGUAUGUACCAUAUGAAUAAGCAUCGGCUAACUCCGUGCCAGCAGCCGAGGUAAUACGGAAGGUCCGGGCGUUAUCCGGAUUGAUUGGGUUUAAAGGGAGCGUAGGCCGGCUUUUAAGUCAGCUGUGAAAGUCCGCGGCUCAACCGUGGAAUUGCAGUUGAAACUGGAGGCCUUGAGUGCACACAGGGAUGCCGGAAUUCAUGGUGUAGCGGUGAAAUGCUUAGAUAUCAUGAAGAACUCCGAUCGCGAAGGCAAGUGUCCGGGGUGCAACUGACGCUGAGGCUCGAAAGUGCGGGUAUCAAACAGGAUUAGAUACCCUUGUAGUC